rnacentral:rRNA from 1 species
UACGGAGGGUGCGAGCGUUGUCCGGAAUCAUUGGGCGUAAAGGGCGCGUAGGUGGCGGGACAAGCGUGCGGUGAAAGCCUGGGGCUCAACCCCGGGUCGGCCGUGCGAACUGUUUUGCUUGAGCACUGUAGAGGUGAGUGGAAUUCCUAGUGUAGAGGUGAAAUUCGUAGAUAUUAGGAAGAACACCAGUGGCGAAGGCGGGUCUCUGGGCCGUAACUGACGCUGAGGAGCGAAAGCGUGGGGAGCGAACAGG